UACUCUAUGUAGUGAAUUUUAGUGCAGGGAUAAAACGAUAAUUUUAAAAAUUUUUAAAAUUACUAUUUUACAGUGAAAAUUAUUAAUUAAACUAAUUAACUAAUAUGUAUAAAUCCUACACAAAGAUCUAAAUAUGAUAUAUAUAUAGCAUGCAUUUAAAUUUAAAAUUCAAACUUCUAUAGUAAAUAUUUUACUGUUAUGUGUUCAGAACACAUUACCUUUAUGCGGGUAGUCGAUCACCACAAUCUGAUCACCGUCGGAAGGGUCUGAUCAUCGUAAUGCAGCCACACAGUGUGUCUGGCCUC
rnacentral:lncRNA from 1 species